rnacentral:rRNA from 1 species
UACCAGCACCCCGAGUGGUCGGGACGAUUAUUGGGCCUAAAGCAUCCGUAGCCGGUUCUACAAGUCUUCCGUUAAAUCCACCUGCUUAACAGAUGGGCUGCGGAGGAUACUAUAGAGCUAGGAGGCGGGAGAGGCAAGCGGUACUUAGUGGGUAGGGGUAAAAUCCGUUGAUCCAUUGAAGACCACCAGUGGCGAAGGCGGCUUGCCAGAACGCACUCGACGGUGAGGGAUUAAAGCUGGGGGAGCAAACCGG